rnacentral:SRP_RNA from 1 species
GGCGGGUCUCCUCGCAUCGCAGGGUGGUUAACCUGGUCAGGUCCGGAAGGAAGCAGCCACGAUCAUUUUCUGUGAGUGCCGGGGGUUGGGCUCGCCGCA